rnacentral:rRNA from 1 species
CGUUUAGGGGUAAACCUGAGAAACCCGAAAGGUCGAAGGGAGAAAUUCAUUCGCGUCUCGAUAUCGAGGCGAGACGGUCUCGCGACGACCGACGUUUUCGCGUCGGACGCGCGUUCCGUCUCCCGGGUCGAGGUCGAACGCGUGCACUUUUCUCCCGGUAGGACGUCGCGAUCCGUUGAGCGUCCGUCUACGGCCCGCGGUGGAGACUCGUCGACUACGGUUCGCGCCGUAUCGGUUCGGCGAGACMCGCGGUGUCCCGGCGGACGGUGAACUUGCGCUCGCGCAAGUAUCGACGGUAUACCGAUGGCCCGGGGCCGCCGUAUUUCGUAUUAAGGCGUCCGGCUCGCGGCAAGCGCGUCGGAAGGGUCGGAUAACGGACCUGGUGCCGUUACCGAUUUCCGACGACUGUUGGCCUCGCGAUGCUCUCGGACAGACCCCGUUCGAGCGCGCGCGUUCGCGCGCGCGCCGGCCGAUCGGCGACGCUAUAGCUUUGGGUACUUUCAGGACCCGUCUUGAAACACGGACCAAGGAGUCUAGCAUGUGCGCGAGUCAUUGGGAACGAUCUAAACCUAAAGGCGCAAUGAAAGUAAAGGCCGAUCUCGCAUCGGCCGAGGGAGGAUAUCCGGCCGGUCUUUCAGGCCGUCGGGUCGCACUCCCGGGGCGUCUCGUUCUCAUCGCGAGAUGAGGCGCACCACGAGCGUACACGCUGGGACCCGAAAGAUGGUGAACUAUGCCUGGUCAGGACGAAGUCAGGGGAAACCCUGAUGGAGGUCCGUAGCGAUUCUGACGUGCAAAUCGAUCGUCGGAACUGGGUAUAGGGGCGAAAGACUAAUCGAACCAUC